AGGGGUUAUCAGAAGUGCAAGCGACGGAUGCCUUGGCGAUUAUACGCGAUGAAGGACGUGAUGGCCAACGAAAGUCUCGAGUAACUGGCUGAUGGUGAUGAUUCGGGACGUUCCUAAUGGGGCAACCUAGAACUUAGAUUUUGGUGGCCGGUUUGGUGGCCAGGUUCUACUUCAGGCUGAAAUGAAUAGGUCAGGAGGGCGAACGCGAAGAACUGAAACAUCUCAGUAUUCGUAGGAAAAGAAAUCAACAAUGAGAUUCCCAGAGUAGUGGCGAACGAAAUGGGAGGAGCCUAGCAGAAUUGUGGGGUCAGUUAGCUGAACGUUCUGGGAAGUGCGACCUUAGAGGGUGAUAGUCCUGUAGGCUAAAACUGGUUCUGAUUACUAACUGCGCUCUUGCCCCUCUGCCUUUUGGGUUGGGUGGCUGAGUUUCUCUUUUGGGGGAAAGUGAAGUAGGACGAGGCACGUAAACUUUGUCUGAAGGUGGGGGGACCAUCCUCCAAGGCUAAAUAUUAGUAAUCGACCGAUAGUGAACUAGUACCGUGAGGGAAAGGUGAAAUAGUGCUCUGGGGAAGAGAGUGAAAGAGACCUGAAAUCGUUUGCAUACAAUCAGUCGGAGCCUUUUGGAGGGGUGACGGCGUACCUUUUGUAUAAUGGGUCAGCGACUUACAUUCAACAGCAAGCUUAACUGGGUAAGGGAGGCAUAGCGAAAGCAAGUCUUAAGGGCGCUUUAGUUGUUGGGUGUAGACCCGAAACCAAGUGAUCUAUUUAUGACCAGGAUGAAAGUGGGGCGGUGCUCUGCUGAAGGUCCGAACUCACUGGCGUUGUAAAGCUAGGAGAUGAGUUGUGAAUAGGGGUGAAAGGCCAAUCAAACUUGGAGAUAGCUGGUUCUCCUCGAAAACUAUUUAGGUAGUGCCUUAUGUUUUACUUUUGGGGGUAGAGCUCUGUAAUGGUUUUGGGGUUCGAGAGAGCUGCCAUGCCAUAGCAAACUUCAAAUACCAAACCAGUAUAAUCAUAGGAGACAGACUGUGGGUGCUAACGUCCAUAGUCGAGAGGGAAACAACCCAGACCAUCAGCUAAGGCCCCAAAAUCACAGCUAAGUGUGGAACGAUGUGGGUGGACCAAGACAAUCAGGAGGUUGGCUUAGAAGCAGCCAUCCUUUAAAGAAAGCGUAACAGCUCACUGAUCUAGUCUGCCUGCGCGGAAGAUGUAACGGGGCUAAGUUGUGUGCCGAAGCUAUGGACAAUCAGAUGGUUGUGGUAGGGGAGCGUUCUGUAAGCCAGCGAAGGCAAACUGAUAGGUUUGCUGGAGGCAUCAGAAGUGCGAAUGCUGACAUGAGUAGCUAAAAAAGGGGUGGGAAUCCCUUUCACCGUAAGCCUAAGGUUUCCUAUGAGACGUUUAUCGACGUAGGGUGAGUCGGACCUAAGGUGAGGCAGGGAUGCGUAACUGAUGGUUUGUGAGUUAAUAUUCUCACGCUGCUACACCAAAACGAAGGGCUGACAGAUUGUGAGGUGGCUUGCCUAUUAUUGGAAUGUUAGGUUGUCAUGCAGAAGAAGAUUCUGGCAAACCCAGAUCGUUAUUAGUUUUUAGCUUUUGGAUUGUAUGGCAUAAUCAGAAAGGGCUAGGGUGACAGUCUCAAGAAAAGGCUCUUAGUGGUUCAGCUCCUUUUGGGGGUUUUGAACAGUAUUGGUGUGGUGUCCGUACCAAAACUAACUCAAGAAGGCGGGAUGAAUAUUCUCAGGUGUAUGGGAGAACUCAGGAGAAGGAACUCGGCAAAUUGAUACCGUAACUUCGGGAGAAGGUAUGCCCUUACUGGUUGAACAGCAUAGUACUGUGAAGCUGGUUGGGGCUCGGAUGAAUUGGUGGCUGCGACUGUUUACUAAAAACACAGCACUGUGCUAACAUGCAAAUGGAAGUAUACGGUGUGACGCCUGCCCGGUGCUGGCAGAUCAAUUGAGGGGGUGGAAGCUCCUAAGAGAAGUCCCAGUAAACGGCGGCCGUAACUAUAACGGUCCUAAGGUAGCGAAAUUCCUUGUCGGGUAAGUUCCGACCUGCACGAAUGGCGUAACGAUGGCCACACUGUCUCCUCCUGGGACCUAGUGAAAUUGAAGUGGUUGUGAUGAUGCAAUCUACCCGUGGCUAGACGGAAAGACCCCAUGAACCUUUACUGCAGCUUUGCAUUGGGUUUUGGGUUGGCCUGUGUAGCGUAGGUGGGAGACAAUGAAGCUAAGGCGCUAGUCUUAGUGGAGUCGGACGUGAAAUACCAUCCAUCCCAUCCUAGAACCCUAACAUAAACCGUUAUCCGGUUGGUGGACAAUGCAUGGUGGGCAGUUUGACUGGGGCGGUCUCCUCCCAAAGAGUAACGGAGGAGUACAAAGGUACACUUAGUGCGGUUGGGAAUCGUACAAGCAGUGCAAUGGCGGAAGUGUGCCUGACUGCAAGACAGACGAGUCGAGCAGAUGCGAAAGCAGGUCAUAGUGAUCCGGUGGUUCUGGAUGGAAGGGCCAUCGCUCAACGAAUAAAAGGUACUCUGGGGAUAACAGGCUAAUACCGCCCAAGAGUUCAUAUCGACGGCGGUGUUUGGCACCUCGAUGUCGGCUCAUCUCAUCCUGGGGCUGAAGCAGGUCCCAAGGGUAUGGUUGUUCACCAUUUAAAGAGGUACGUGAGCUGGGUUUAAAACGUCGUGAGACAGUUUGGUCCCUAUCUACCAUGGGCGUAGGAUACUUGAAAGGAUCUGCUCUUAGUACGAGAGGACCGGAGUGGACAAACCAAUGGUGUGUCGGUUGUUGUGCCAAUGGCAUUGCCGAGUAGCUAAGUUUGGGACUGAUAACUACUGAAAGCAUAUAAGUAGGAAGCUCGCCUUAAGAAUUGGUAUCCCAAAAGUUUGAGGGCCGUUCCAGAUUAGGACGUUAAUAGGUUGGAAGUGUGAGGCUAGUAAUGGUUUAAGCUUACCAAUCCUAAUUGCCUAACAGAAACUUCUUU
rfam:Candidatus Tremblaya phenacola PAVE, complete genome.